rnacentral:rRNA from 1 species
GGCGGCAGGCCUAACGCAUGCAAGCCGAACGGUAGCACAGAGAGCUUGCUCUUGGGUGACGAGUGGCGGACGGGUGAGUAAUGUCUGGGAAACUGCCCGAUGGAGGGGGAUAACUACUGGAAACGGUAGCUAAUACCGCAUAAUGUCGCAAGACCAAAGUGGGGGACCUUCGGGCCUCACACCAUCGGAUGUGCCCAGAUGGGAUUAGCUAGUUGGUGAGGUAAUGGCUCACCAAGGCGACGAUCCCUAGCUGGUCUGAGAGGAUGACCAGCCACACUGGAACUGAGACACGGUCCAGACUCCUACGGGAGGCAGCAGUGGGGAAUAUUGCACAAUGGGCGCAAGCCUGAUGCAGCCAUGCCGCGUGUAUGAAGAAGGCCUUCGGGUUGUAAAGUACUUUCAGCGAGGAGGAAGGCAUUAAGGUUAAUAACCUUAGUGAUUGACGUUACUCGCAGAAGAAGCACCGGCUAACUCCGUGCCAGCAGCCGUGGUAAUACGGAGGGUGCAAGCGUUAAUCGGAAUUACUGGGCGUAAAGCGCACGCAGGCGGUCUGUCAAGUCGGAUGUGAAAUCCCCGGGCUCAACCUGGGAACUGCAUUCGAAACUGGCAGGCUAGAGUCUUGUAGAGGGGGGUAGAAUUCCAGGUGUAGCGGUGAAAUGCGUAGAGAUCUGGAGGAAUACCGGUGGCGAAGGCGGCCCCCUGGACAAAAGACUGACGCUCAGGUGCGAAAGCGUGGGGAGCAAACAGGGAUUAGAUACCCUGGUAGUCCACGCCGUAAACGAUGUCUAUUUUGGAGGUUGUUCCCUUGAGGAGUGGCUUCCGGAGCUAACGCGUUAAAUAGACCGCCUGGGGAGUACGGCCGCAAGGUUAAAACUCAAAUGAAUGACGGGGGGCCCGCACAAGCGGUGGAGCAUGUGGUUUAAUUCGAUGCAACGCGAAGAACCUUACCUACUCUUGACAUCCAGAGAACUUAGCAGAGAUGCUUUGGUGCCUUCGGGAACUCUGAGACAGGUGCUGCAUGGCUGUCGUCAGCUCGUGUUGUGAAAUGUUGGGUUAAGUCCCGCAACGAGCGCAACCCUUAUCCUUUGUUGCCAGCGGUUCGGCCGGGAACUCAAAGGAGACUGCCAGUGAUAAACUGGAGGAAGGUGGGGAUGACGUCAAGUCAUCAUGGCCCUUACGAGUAGGGCUACACACGUGCUACAAUGGCAUAUACAAAGAGAAGCGACCUCGCGAGAGCAAGCGGACCUCAUAAAGUAUGUCGUAGUCCGGAUUGGAGUCUGCAACUCGACUCCAUGAAGUCGGAAUCGCUAGUAAUCGUAGAUCAGAAUGCUACGGUGAAUACGUUCCCGGGCCUUGUACACACCGCCCGUCACACCAUGGGAGUGGGUUGCAAAAGAAGUAGGUAGCUUAACCUUCGGGAGGGCGCUUACCACUUUGUGAUUCAUGACUGGGGUGAA